UACGUAGGAUGCAAGCGUUGUCCGGAAUUAUUGGGCGUAAAGGGCUCGUAGGCGGUUUGUCGCGUCGGGAGUGAAAACCUUGGGCUUAACUCAGGGCUUGCUUUCGAUACGGGCAGACUAGAGGUAUGCAGGGGAGAACGGAAUUCCUGGUGUAGCGGUGGAAUGCGCAGAUAUCAGGAGGAACACCGAUGGCGAAGGCAGAUCUCUGGGCCGUAACUGACGCUGAGGAGCGAAAGCAUGGGGAGCGAACAGG
rnacentral:rRNA from 1 species